GACGAACGCUGGCGGCGUGCUUAACACAUGCAAGUCGAGCGGUAAGGCCCUUUCGGGGGUACACGAGCGGCGAACGGGUGAGUAACACGUGGGUGACCUGCCCUCAGCUCUGGGAUAAGCCUGGGAAACCGGGUCUAAUACCGGAUAUGACUCCAUGACGCAUGUUGUGGGGUGGAAAGCCUUGUGCGGCUGAGGAUGGGCCCGCGGCCUAUCAGCUUGUUGGUGGGGUGAGGCCUACCAAGGCGACGACGGGUAGCCGGCCUGAGAGGGCGACCGGCCACACUGGGACUGAGACACGGCCCAGACUCCUACGGGAGGCAGCAGUGGGGAAUCUUGCGCAAUGGGCGAAAGCCUGACGCAGCGACGCCGCGUGAGGGAUGACGGCCUGGU
rnacentral:rRNA from 1 species